GAUGAAGAAUGCAGCGAAAUGCGAUAAGUAAUGUGAAUUGCAGAAUUCAGUGAAUCAUCGAAUCUUUGAACGCACAUUGCGCCCCUUGGUAUUCCGAGGGGCAUGCCUGUUCGAGCGUCAUUAUAACCCUCAAGCUCAGCUUGGUGUUGGGGCCUGCUGCACUGGCAGCCCUUAAAAUCAGUGGCGGCGCCAUCUGGCUCUAAGCGUAGUAAUUCUUCUCGCUAUGGAGUCCUGGUGGAUGCUUGCCAUCAACCCCCAAUUUUUCUAUGGUUGACCUCGGAUCAGGUAGGGAUACCCGCUGAACUUAAGCAUAUCAAUAAGCGGAGGA
rnacentral:misc_RNA from 1 species